CCUGCACUUAGCAUAGAACAAUCCCAUGCACUAGUCACAGGCUGGAGACCCACUGGCUAAGCAGCAUAUCUGCAAAAAAGGACUCGGGGGUUACAGUGGACAAUAAGCUGAAUAU